AGGGAACGUGCCCAAAGGUACGGAACAACUCCGGGAAACUGGAGCUAAUACCGUAUGUGCCCGAAAGGGGAAAGAUUUAUCGCCUUUGGAUCGGCCCGCGUCUGAUUAGCUAGUUGGUGAGGUAAUGGCUCACCAAGGCAUUGACGGGUAGCCGGCCUGAGAGGGUGACCGGCCACACUGGGACUGAGACACGGCCCAGACUCCUACGGGAGGCAG
rnacentral:rRNA from 1 species